rnacentral:lncRNA from 1 species
UCUUUUCUUCUUUUUUUAAUUCAAUAAGAAACAUUUACUUACCUUCUUAAUUGAAGGAUCAAGCCAUUCAUACCUCAACGGGCUUUACAUUGAUUCAUCGAUUUACAAACAAGCAAAGAAGAAAUACGCGCUAUUCUUCCCAUACCACCGCUUUUAGGAGGAAAUUGCCUCGGGAUUUAAGCUUGCACCGGAGAUUUAGGGGUUUUCGGUGGAGUGCGGUGAUGAGAGUUUAGGUCGUGGCAGCUAUUUUUUUGCUUUGAUGAGGAGAUUUUGGAAUUGGGUAAGCAGGAAGUUGAUGAGAUUUGUAUAGCCUUUGAAUAAGUACCAAAUUUGGUACAGUGAAUUUGAUAUAGCCUUUCAAUGAGAUUCGUAUAGCCAGA